UUUCUGUUCUUCUUUUUCGUCAAUCUCCUUUUUCUCUCUGAAGCAGUUUCUCACACACAUGAAUACUUCAAGGCGACAUUCAUACGGGGUGCCAUCUAGGUGCUGGUGCGGGAAAGGGGUUGUGAUAUUCUACUCGAGAACUGAUGACAAUCCUUACCGACGGUUCUAUAGAUGUGAAAUAGGGGCACAGCGAAAGAAGGAAAAUCAUUUAUUUAAGUGGGUUGAUGACGCCUUGCUUGAUGAGAUUCGAAGGGUAGAGGCUGAGCAAGGGAGAAUUGUAGAAGAGAUUGAAGAUCUGAAAAGUAGUAUCACACAGAGAAUAGAAGAAGAAGUUAGGAAGCAGAAAAAUUCACUCGAAUUAGGUUGCUUAGGAAGCAUUCUAUGGCUUUUUGGAAGAUUAAGAAGCCAAGAAUGAGUGAAAUCAGUCUACUGGUUCUAAGUAUCUUCUUGUUAGUGUGUUUUUUUUCAUUUUUACCAGUCAUUUGGUUCUUAGUAUUGGCUUCAAUAAGUGUUUUGUUGCAACAAUAUUUGUGUCGACUUUACCAGUCAAAUGGUUCUUAUAUUUUGUGCUCAGUGAUCUGUUCUUACAAUCCACCUUUUUUGUUGAAAAAUCAGACAUCAGCUAUUGUCAAACAAACUUAAACUCGAACUCAAAAGCAUAGCUGAACAUAA